rnacentral:rRNA from 1 species
GGAGGAAAAGAAACCAACAGGGAUUGCCCUAGUAACGGCGAGUGAAGCGGCAACAGCUCAAAUUUGAAAUCUGGCCUCGGCCCGAGUUGUAAUUUGCAGAGGAUGCUUCUGGCGCGGUGCCUUCCGAGUUCCCUGGAACGGGACGCCACAGAGGGUGAGAGCCCCGUAUGGUCGGACACCAAGCCUGUGUGAAGCUCCUUCGACGAGUCGAGUAGUUUGGGAAUGCUGCUCUAAAUGGGAGGUAAAUCUCUUCUAAAGCUAAAUACCGGCCAGAGACCGAUAGCGCACAAGUAGAGUGAUCGAAAGAUGAAAAGCACCUUGAAAAGGGGGUUAAAUAGUACGUGAAAUUGUUGAAAGGGAAGCACUUGUGACCAGACUUGGGCCGGGCGGCUCAUCAGGGGUUCUCCCCUGUGCACUCCGCCCGGCACAGGCCAGCAUCGGUUUUCGCGGGGGGACAAGACCGCCGGGAACGUAGCACCCUCCGGGGUGUGUUAUAGCCCGGCGGACGAUACCCCCGCGGGGACCGAGGUCCGCGCUCCGCAAGGAUGCUGGCGUAAUGGUCACCAGUGACCCGUCUUGAAACACGGACCAAGGAGUCGUCCAUUAGAGCGAGCGUUUGGGUGUAAAACCCGCACGCGUAAUGAAAGUGAACGCAGGUGAGAGCUUCGGCGCAUCAUCGACCGAUCCUGAUGUUCUCGGAAGGAUUUGAGUAAGAGUUUUAACGGACGGACCCGAAAGACAGUGAACUAUGCUUGUAUAGGGUGAAGCCAGAGGAAACUCUGGUGGAGGCUCGCAGCGGUUCUGACGUGCAAAUCGAUCGUCAAAUAUGAGCAUGGGGGCGAAAGACUAAUCGAACUGUCUAGUAGCUGGUUACCGCCGAAGU